AGAACGAACGCUGGCGGCGUGGAUAAGACAUGCAAGUCGAACGCGACUUAUCUGAUUAGCAAUAAUUAGGUAAGUUGAGUGGCGAAAGGGUGCGUAACACGUGGGAAUUUACCAAGAAGUGGGGAAUAGCUCGACGAAAGUCGAAUUAAUACCGCAUAUGAUCGCAAGAUCAAAGCCGGGGACCGCAAGGCCUGGCGCUUUUUGAGAAGCCCGCGGCCCAUCAGCUAGUUGGUGAGGUAAAGGCUCACCAAGGCUAUGACGGGUAGCUGGUCUGAGAGGACGACCAGCCACACUGGAACUGAGACACGGUCCAGACACCUACGGGUGGCAGCAGUCGAGAAUUUUUCACAAUGGAC
rnacentral:rRNA from 1 species